GAUGAACGCUGGCGGCGUGCUUAACACAUGCGAGUCGAACGGUGAAGGCGGAGCUUGCUCUGCUGGAUCAGUGGCGAACGGGUGAGUAACACGUGAGCAAUCUGCCCCUGACUCUGGGAUAAGCGCUGGAAACAGCGUCUAAUACUGGAUACGAGCUGCGAAGGCAUCUUCAGCAGCUGGAAAGAACUUCGGUCAGGGAUGAGCUCGCGGCCUAUCAGCUUGUUGGUGAGGUACCGGCUCACCAAGGCGUCGACGGGUAGCCGGCCUGAGAGGGUGACCGGCCACACUGGGACUGAGACACGGCCCAGACUCCUACGGGAGGCAGCAGUGGGGAAUAUUGCACAAUGGGCGAAAGCCUGAUGCAGCAACGCCGCGUGAGGGACGACGGCCUUCGGGGUGUAAACCUCUUUUAGCAGGGAAGAAGCGAAAGUGACGGUACCUGCAGAAAAAGCGCCGGCUAACUACGUG
rnacentral:rRNA from 1 species